rnacentral:lncRNA from 1 species
AGCAUCCAUUUGAAUCAACGAUAUCAACAAGCAUACACACUGAAAGUUAUCAAACAACUUAAUUUCCAAACAAAAUGCAAACAGUGUCAACAAGUAUGUCUUGUCCAUGACACUACAAAAUCCCAUAGUAACAGAAUAAUCUUAAGGUUUCCAAAUACUCACAAAGGAAAGAUUUGUAAACACACAAAGCAAAUUUCAGACUGAAUUUGUUGUUGUAUCCUUUGAUUCUUCUCAUUUCAAAAAACAACUCUCACAACUUCUACACUGGCACAUGAAACCCGCUUUUAUUGCACAUAUAUGUAGAACAUCUACAUGAGAAGCAAAGACACAAGUUAGAGUAUAAUAACAAGCAUGUCGAAAACAUAGAUUUUUUUUCUAAGUUGGCCAUUUGGUUUGGCUAGAGCAUUUCCUGUUAAAUUUGCAUGGAGCAACUGACAAUAGUACAAGUAUCCUGCUGUAGUGCAACUACAGUUUUAAAAACUACAGGUGAGUUUUAUAGCACAGCCAUCAUUUUAAUUAAAAAAAUAGCAUUUAAAAAACAAUAGUGCAGAUUUUGGGUACAGUACAGUGCAGAUUUCAGGGUACACUGCAGAUUUUCGAGUAGAGUGCAUAUUUUAAAAACAAUAGUGCAGAUUUUUAGUGCAACAUAUACAUGGACUUCCUAACGAACACAUGCAGAUUCUAGCAUUUACUUCUAAAGUACAUCAAGUUGUACUUUCUGAAGACGCGGAUGAUUAUGAAAUUGUAACCCUGCAUUAGGUAUGUGUUCUAAGUUCUUUAUCCUAACAAACGAGGAUCCUACUGUUGCAACAUGCAUCCACAGACAGUGCUUUAGAAAAAAAAUAUGGGGACUUCCACAAGCAUAGCCUCCUGACCCAAAUAAUUGAACCUAGUUCGCAGCACAGGGGAAUCAAUCUGGUUCUUGAAAAGAAGCUAUUUACCAAAUAAUCAUAAAUCUCCAGAAUCCAUCAAACCCAAGCUUAGCUUACUGAACCGGUGCUGAUAAUUGCUCGUGGAGAUGGAUUCUACUAGCUUCUGCGCACGUACUAAAUAAUAUGAUUUUCUACCCGCAACUGCAAAGUGCAGAGUAAUAGUACGGAUCUAACAUGUUUCUCUCAGGGAUUAAUAAGAAGAAAUAGAUGGGGAUUACUACAAGCAUGUCCACCUUAUCCAGAUUGAUUGAAUCUAAAUCACAGGAUAGGGGAAUUGAUCUUGUUCUUGGAACAAAUCACCAGAAUCCAUCAAACCCUAGCCUAAUUUACUGAACCUAUCCGAAUCAAAUCAAUCUGGCCAUCAGCACAAGAGGAGGCAGGGGAAGAAGUAGUGUCAUACCUUGCACGGAGAGCUCGAAUCGACGAUGUUGAAGGCAAGCUAAGGACGAGGGUGCGCCGCCUUCUCCUCUUGUUCGUGCGUUGCACCUCCACUGCCCUGGUUCACACGCUUCCUUCUCCCGUUCCCGCGCUUCCCUUCUUGUUCGCGGCCUUGCGCCGCCGGCUAUUGUUGGGUCUGCAUGGUCCUGCGGGGAGUGGAGCGACCGAUCCCACACCGCGACGCCCGAGCGGUCGCCUCGUUGCUUUCGUCAGGGAGGAGGCGAGCUCUUCUGCAGGUGACCACAUUGCUCUGCAGGCGAUAUGUUUGAUGGACGUGGCAUCGGACAGGUCGAUGUGGCGGCCGGGGCACCGAUACAGACG